rnacentral:rRNA from 1 species
GGUCAAGUUAUUAAGGGUGCAGGGCGGAUGCCUUGGCACUAGGAGCCGAUGAAGGACGUGAUAAGCUGCGAUAAGCUUCGGGGAGUUGCACGUAAACUUUGAUCCGAAGAUUUCCGAAUGAGGAAACUCACUUAGAGUAAUGUCUAAGUAUCAUUAAGUGAAUACAUAGCUUAAUGAGGGGAACUCAGGGAACUGAAACAUCUAAGUACCUGAAGGAAGAGAAAGAAAUUCGAUUCCGUAAGUAGCGGCGAGCGAACGCGGAUUAGCCCAAACCAAUAAAGUUUUCUUUAUUGGGGUUGCGGACAUAUCAUAACGAAGAGGUAUCGUAAUUGAAGAGGUUUGGAAAGACCCACCACAGAAGGUAAUAGUCCUGUAUGUUAAACGAGAAGACUUUAGAUAUGAUCCAGAGUACCACGGGACACGUGAAACCCUGUGGGAAGCAGGAGGGACCACCCUCCAAGGCUAAAUACUACCUAGUGACCGAUAGCGUAUAGUACCGUGAGGGAAAGGUGAAAAGAACCCCGGGAGGGGAGUGAAAUAGAACCUGAAACCCUGCACUUACAAGCUGUGGAAGCACAUUUCUUGUGUGACCGCGUACUUUUUGUAGAACGGGCCAACGAGUUACGUUAAGUAGCAAGGUUAAGCACUUAAGGUGCGGAGCCGUAGCGAAAGCGAGUUUUAACUGAGCGUUCAGUUACUUGACGUAGACCCGAAACCGGGCGACCUACCCAUGAGCAGGAUGAAGCGAAAGUAAAAUUUCGUGGAGGUCCGAACCCACGAGCGUUGAAAAGCUCGGGGAUGACUUGUGGGUAGCGGUGAAAUUCCAAUCGAGCCCGGAGAUAGCUGGUUCUCCCCGAAAUAGCUUUAGGGCUAGCCUCAAGGUGAGAGAUACGGAGGUAGAGCACUGAAUGUCCUAGGGGGUAUUGCACCUACCGAAGACUAUCAAACUCCGAAUGCCGUCAUCUUAUACUUGGGAGUCAGACUGUGGGUGAUAAGAUUCAUAGUCGAAAGGGCAACAGCCCAGAUCGUCAGCUAAGGUCCCUAAAUGUAAGUUAAGUGGUAAAGGAUGUGGGAUUGCACAGACAACCAGGAUGUUGGCUUAGAAGCAGCCACUCAUUCAAAGAGUGCGUAAUAGCUCACUGGUCGAGUGAUCCUGCGCCGAAGAUUUCCGGGGCUAAAACUUACUACCGAAGCUACGGCAUCAGUAAUGAUGGGUAGGGGAGCUUCCCAUACGGGUUGAAGCAUGACCGUAAGGACAUGUGGACAGUAUGGGAGUGAGAAUGUUGGCAUGAGUAGCGAGAUGUGGGUGAGAAUCCCACAGGCCGUAAACCCAAGGUUUCCAGGGGAAGGUUCGUCCGCCCUGGGUUAGUCGGGACCUAAGCUGAGGCCGAAAGGCGUAGGUGAUGGACAACAGGUUGAUAUUCCUGUACUACCGAUAACCGUUUGAGAGAAGGGAUGACACAGUAGGAUAAGCUAAGCACACUGUUGGUUAUGUGUGCCCAAGCAUUGAGGCAGUCAAAGUAGGCAAAUCCGCUUUGAUAAUGCUGGGAUGUGAUGGGGAGCGAAAUUUAGUAGCGAAGUAGCUGAUUUCACACUGUCAAGAAAAGUCUCUAUCGAGGUUAAAGGUACCCGUACCGCAAACCGACACAGGUGGGUGAGGAGAGUAUCCUAAGGCCAGCGAGAGAACUGUUGUUAAGGAACUCGGCAAAAUGACCCCGUAACUUAGGGAUAAGGGGUGCCACCAUCAGGUGGCCGCAGAGAAUAGGCCCAAGCGACUGUUUACCAAAAACAUAGGUUUCUGCUAAGUCGCAAGACGAUGUAUAGGAGCUGACGCCUGCCCGGUGCUGGAAGGUUAAGGGGAUCUGUUAGAGCAAUCGAAGCAGUGAACUUAAGCCCCAGUAAACGGCGGCCGUAACUAUAACGGUCCUAAGGUAGCGAAAUUCCUUGUCGGGUAAGUUCCGAC